CCCCUAGUAACGGCSAGUGAAGAGGGAUGAGCCCAAGAUUAAAAGCUGGCGUCAUUCAGGCGUCCGCAUUGUAAUCUCGAGAAGCGUUAUCUGUGCCGGACCGAGUCCAAGUCCCUUGGAAAAGGGCAUCAUAGAGGGUGAGAAUCCCGUUUAUGGCUCGGAGCGCCCGGUGCUUUGUGAUGCGCACUCCAAGAGUCGAGUUGUUUGGGAAUGCAGCUCAAAAUGGGUGGUAAAUGCCAUCUAAGGCUAAAUAUUGGGGAGAGACCGAUAGCGAACAAGUACCGUGAGGGAAAGAUGAAAAGAACUUUGAAAAGAGAGUUAAACAGUACGUGAAAUUGCCAAAAGGGAAGGGUAUAAAGUCAGACAUGCUUUGCGGGAUUCAGCCUUGCAUCUUUGCUUGGUGUAUUUUCCGUAAUGGCAGGCCAACGUCGGUUUUGGCUGCUGGAGAAUGGCAGAGGGAAUGUGGCACCUUUGGGUGUGUUUAUAGCCCUUUGCUGGAUACAGCGGCUGGGACCGAGGAACGCAGCGUACUCGCAAGAGCGGGCCUUUGGGCACCUUUACGCUUAGGACGUUGGCAUAAUGGCUUUAUGCCACCCGUCUUGAAACACGGACCAAGGAGUCUA
rnacentral:rRNA from 1 species